rnacentral:lncRNA from 1 species
UUAUCCUGGGAGUUGAUUUAGUUUUUGAUUUUGAUAUGACAUGGAUAUGAUACAGUUUUCCGCACAGUGUUUUUAUUAUGUUUGGGAUACAUCACGUAUGGUUUUUAUGACAUGACACUCAGAUUAUGGUUUUUGGUUAUAUUAAAAAAAUGAAAUUUUUGGGUCGUAUUUUUGGGGCGUUUCAUUAGUUGUGAAAGUGUUAAUUAGAGAUAUAUUGUGUUAUAGGAGGACUAUAGCUCGGGAGAGUGAUUUCAGGGAUUUGCGAAUUACCAAGAUAUGCGAGGUGAGUCUUCUCACUAUACUUUACCUUGAGUAGGUAACUAGAGUUAUGUGAUAGAGUAUUUGUAUGCUAUGUAUGUUAUGUGUUGCACUGCAUUAUUUCUAUGUGAUUUAUAUUAUGCAUGUUAUUAGAGUUAGAACCUGAGGGUUCACAGAGUUUGGGUGCACGGACCCACAGAGUUAUAGCCUCGAGUGGCUAAUAUGUGUUAUGUAUGGUAUUUUGGGAAACUCACUAAGCUUUGUGCUUACAGUGUUUUGUGUUAUUUGUUUCAGGUACUAGUGAUGACCGUGGGAAGGCGCCGGCUUGGUCAGUACACACACGUGAUUUUUAUGCUAUGAGAUCUUGGGAUUAUUAUAUGUCAUGGAUUUGAGUUUCAAACAUUGAUGUUUUUAUAAAAAUUAAAUGAAUUAUGCUUUUAUAAAUUGCGAAAAAUUGUUUUGAAAUUUACGGUGUUACAAAUGAUAUUAAUUCCAUGUAGUAUCAUAUUUUUAUAUUAAAUUACUAUAAUUUAAUUUUCUUUUUGCUUGGAUGAUUUU